CAGCCGCCGCGGGAAUACAGAGGGUGCGAGCGUUAAUCGGAUUUACUGGGCGUAAAGCGUGCGUAGGCGGCUAAUUGAGUCGGAUGUGAAAUCCCCGAGCUUAACUUGGGAAUUGCAUUCGAUACUGGUUAGCUAGAGUGUGGAAGAGGAUGGUAGAAUUCCAGGUGUAGCGGUGAAAUGCGUAGAGAUCUGGAGGAAUACCGAUGGCGAAGGCAGCCAUCUGGCCUAACACUGACGCUGAGGUACGAAAGCAUGGGGAGCAAACAGGAUUAGAUACCCCCGUAGUCCCUGUCUCUUAUAC
rnacentral:rRNA from 1 species